UAACUGAGUGUUUUUCAUAUUUCUAGUGCUGUCUUUGUGGUUGCAGGCCUUUUUGCUAGUUGUUUGCAUGAUUUGGAUCACUGAUUAGACCUAAUAGAACCUUGCACUAGAAUGUAUCUUCUAAUUAUUCUUGUGUGAGGAAAUGGGCUUUUUAGUCUUUCCUGGGUUAUCAUUUGUUCCUUCCACCACAAUUACUCAUUUCAGAACUGUAAGUAAUAUGUCUGUCAAUUUAAGCCUCAUUAUGGGGAAUAUGAGGGAUUUAAUAGGAGGUUCAUCACUCUGAGAAUGCCCCAGGGUAGGGAUUUUUCUCCAACAAGCCUAUAGGAAGACUUCGCUAGUUUGACCAAGCAUUUUAUACCUUGCCAGCGAAUUGGAUCACAACAGGUUGCUCAUGAGUUUUUGCUUACAUGUGUAGUAGGAGACUAGGAGCUCAAGUAGGUACAAGGUUGAGCUUUAAGCUAUGUAUAAUUAUAGACCUCUAGCAGUAAAAAUUGAUUACAUAAGAAGAUUAUUAGAAA